rnacentral:tRNA from 1 species
GCGGGGGUGGCAGAGCUAGGUUAAAUGCGCGAGGCUCAAGACCUCGUGGGCGUAGGCCCUACGUGGGUUCGAAUCCCACCCCCCGCACCA